AAAAAUAUCUUUAUAAAGAUAAUAUGAAACAGAAGUAUUUUUGUCUCUUUACAGACAAUUUCACUUUUGUCUGUUUCAACACAUUAGUUGGGAUUAAAGAUAUAUUGUGCCUACAAAUUUUUCUGAUGGAGACAAUAUGUCUUUAAUCCCAGCUAUUGUAUCGAAACAGACAAAAGUGAAAUUGUCUCUAAAGAGACAAAAAUGUUUCUGUUCCAUAUUAGCUUUAUAAAGACAAUUUUUUAAGCAAUAACUUGAGACAUAUGCUUAAAGACAAUACUUAAGACAAUACACAAGUUUUUGGAUCUCAAGUUAAAAUAGCUUACUAAAAAAUUGUCUCAAAAAUUAUCUUAAACCUCCUCUAUGUAGUCAUGAGUGCUAUGUAGUCAUGAGUGCACAUUCAGGUGGCGGCAAACCCUUAGGGCAUCGACCAAAGGGAAGAUCAAAAGAGGUUUAGAUUUGUGUUAGCGGCACAAACAGGAGGUGCUGCCAAAAGUGAAGGGGGAAGACGACAUCUCCAAGUGAUGAUAGACCAACUAGGCACUGGUUUCACACUCCUUUAUCCCUUUUAUUUCACUACCGCUCUGAACUAGAUUUUCUUUUCUUUGGCUAUGAGAUAGCAUGUAAAUUUCUUCUCAUUUAUGCCCUAUAUCUUGUAGAAUUUUUACUCUCUAUAUUUCAGUAUAUUAUCAUUGUAAUGAGCCGAUUUAAAUAAUUUUCUAAUAAAGAAUUGGGCAUGUAGGGCUAUGGUAAUGGGUAUAAUCAUCAUAUAAUCACAUAAGCACUAAUGAGAAAGUCAUAAAUAUUGUUCAUUCCCAGUAGCUGGUCUACCUCUUGGUGUCGAAUUCUUACACGUUACACGAUGGAACAGAUAUACUUUUCAGGUAAGUUUUCUAUCUUUUGAUUCAAUGUGUAAGCCAGAACCACAAAUACUACCAAUGCCAUCAAUCUCAGGGAAGGAUGGCCCUGCCUUCUUCAAGAAAUUUAACAUCAUUUCAGUUUUUAUAGCCAUAUUUAUUGAUGUAACGAUAAGUCCAUACAAUUCUAAUUACUAUUGUUUGACUGGUAUGGUGGCUUUGCAUGAUAACUAUGGAGGAUGGACCUUUUAUUGGAAUUGAUAAGUCCUAAGAUAAACAACACUUCAUCAAGAGUAAAAAGGGGCUAUAUUCUGCUUUUCAGGAAGCUUCAAAAAGUUGCAUAUUUUGACUCUGGUCGUGCGCAAUUGGGUGAUUAAUAGAAUAUGUAGAAAGGCUCUAAAUGUCAGAUUUUGUUAAUCUAUUUUGAGCUCUUUGCUAGGAUGUAAAAAAGCUUCUGAAUGUCAGGAUCAAGAGGCUCAGCUGGGAUUUGAUUUCCCAAUGCUUGGUAGUGCAAAAAUGAAAAAUCUUCUUGGAGGUUUCUUUAUCAAUUACUAAACUGUACCUCUAGUUUAGAAGUCUUCCUUUAUAAAUCGACUAUUUCUCACCAUUGAUUUUAAUGCAUUCAAGGCUAAAACUUAAAUCUAGACAAAUACCACCUAGUUCUCCAACCAACAAGCUAUCUGCUACACAUUUUUUCUAUCCAAAAUUGAGGAUUUGAUGUUGUAAUUGUUAUUGGGAAUAUUGUAAUACAGAUCUCAUUAAUAUAGAAGAUCUAGUUAUUUGAA